ACUGACCUUUGCUGGGACACAAAAAAGCAACCUCAGAAGAAACACAGUGAAAUCAUGAUAGGGACUGUUUUCGGAUAGAAAGAUCUCCACACAGGCUCCAUGCCUCGGACAUGCCACCUUCGGGAUAUAUUGUCACCUCCAGCAACAUGCUGCCAGCCUCCAUCAAGAACCAAAGAAACAGGAAGAAGAAUCACAAGGCUCUACUUUUCUUUAAUGUGACACAGUUUUGGUUGAAGAAUAUGAAG